GACGGGGGAUGCGAGCGUUAAUCGGAUUUAUUGGGCGUAAAGGGGGCCUAGGCGGCUAAGUAAGUCAGAGGUGAAAUCUCCACGGCUCACCCGGGAAAUAGCCUUUGAUACUGCUUGGCUCGAAUUCGGGAGAGGGAAGCGGAAUUCCGUGUGUAGCGGUGAAAUGCGUAGAUAUACGGAGGAACACCAGUGGCGAAGGCGGCUUCCUGGACCGACAUUGACGCUGAGGCGCGAAAGCCAGGGGAGCAGACGGG
rnacentral:rRNA from 1 species